CCGCAGGUAGCCAACAUGUUGGUGAGAUUUUAUUUAGUUUCCGCCCUACUUUUGAUUUUAACGGUCUCUAGCAACGCACUUUGGCCGUGGAGCAAAGUGAAGGCUUCCAAUGUAACACGCAAUCAUACGCUGUAAUUUUACGGAAUAAGUAUUAUAUCGAAAAUGGAACUAUGAAAUAGAAAAAUAAAUCAAGGAGAAAAAAGA